AAGCAAGGCCUAGAACAUUGUAUGCAUAACGCGAACUAUUGCUACCUGGCUCAGACGAGACGCGCCGAGCACACUACAUUAAACAAAUAUAUUUCACAUUUAUUUAACACCAGGUAGGCCAGUUGAGAACAAGUUCUCAUUUACAACUGCGACCUGGCCAAGAUAAAGCAAAGCAGUGUGACACAAACAACAACACAGAGUUACACAUUGGAUAAACAAACGUACUGUCAUAUAUUGUAAACAGAUUUCAUCGGUUGAAUUUCAUUGCUUUAAGCAUAAAAGAUGGCUUCUCAAGGGGGUAAAAAAAAGGUCAACUAAGAAGAUCGAUCAGGAAGCUAAAAAACAAGGCAGCUAUGAAUAAGUACACAGACAGAAGCUUUGAAUAAAAUAUUGGUUGGACUCGGAUCAGGGGAGCGAUUUGGACAACGAACGAGGAUUUCGACUCGCCCGACAGAGAUUUGCUUUCUAGAAGGAUUGGAUCCACUUAGAUCCGUUAAAGUGGAUGAUGCAGAGGAUUUGGAUGAUGACGUUUGGGAACCACCCCUCCCCAGCGGUCAAGGUCUUCACCCCCUCACUGCUAUGUCAAUCACCCGUCUGAUGGUUCUACAUCCACUUUUCAAAGACAUCUUGAAAAAUAGAAUAGAGGCUUGUGGCACCAUUCGUCCUAACAGAAUCGGUUUCCCCGAGACCAAGGUAAAAGACAUGAAAGACAGCAGAGACCGGGGGGGGGACCAUACUUUGGAUCAGGACUAACGAGCUGCUUUUUGUGAAAUGGAAGGAAACUGGGGAAUUAACCAUGCUCACCACACAGCAUAAUUAAUUCAAUAACAACCAUGUCUCAAGGAUGGGGAAAAAGGAAGAAAGUCCCCAUUCCUGUUUCUGAGAAGGACUACAAUGCCAGCAUGGGGGGUGUCGACAUCUCCAAUGCUCUGAUAGGCUACUACCAGGUCCUCCUCAAGACCAGGAAGUGGUAUACAAUUUUUUUUUAAACUACUUUGUGGACAUUGCUACAGUAAAUGUUCAUUCUCCACAAGCAGAUGGCCAAAGAAAAAGGUCAAACCCCUCUCUCCCAGUUGGCCUUCUGAGAGCAGCUGAAUUAGGGGCCCAAAGCAACCUCACAACCAUCACAAGACCCCCUUCUGAAGGCGAGCACCACUAUCCAACACACAUGCCAAAAGGAAGAAACGCAAGCAUUGCACAAAACACUUAUUUUUUCUGUUUCCUGGCAGAGAGAGACCGCUUCAAAGACUGUCACGACAUGCACAAGCUAUGGGGAAAGUGAAAUCUAAUCAUCUAGACCUGGGAUGUAAAACGAACAAGAAUGCCAUUUUGAAAUAGUCCAUCUUAUUUGUGCACCUUUUUUUUUUAGUGAAGGACACAUGUGUAACAAAGUUGUAUAUCUGUUGCUUUUAUAUUGUUUUUGUAAACAGCUCAUUUGUAUGUGGGACCAAUACAUUGGAUAUACCGAGCCUAAAUGUUCAGGCACUUUGGAGAGGUUGAAAAAAAAUUAAAAUAGGAUAUCCCCUCGUAUGUCUCCCGACACCACCACAAUGUUUGAGAGAGGUUGGGUGUUGUAGCAAUUUAGUUUUUUAUAGUGAACAAUAACUUUUAGGCACAUCCAGUGUGCAAAAACAGUGCAAUUACCACAUUCGGACACUUUUGGAGAGGUUGAAAGGACACUUGAAUGUACCCUGGAUAACAUAACACCACAGUGUUUGAGUGAAGUUGUCAGAAAUCGUGUUUUUAUACAAAAAAAUAGCAAGAAGGGAUUGCAAAUAUGUAAUAGCACUGGAAUUAUCUCAUUUACAGACAUUUGCCACUUUGGAGAUGUUUAGGGACACUUGGAAACAUCCCGUGACCACACCUGACACCAUUUCUAGUUGUUAGGUCUAUCAAUCCCAUUUUUUUUCUGAUAUUGUUCACAUGUUGUGGAAGCCAUCUGAUGUGUUUCCAUCUCUGGGCAUCACUUACAGCUUGUCAAUGAAAGCUUACUUUCAAAAUAAUAAAAAGGUUAUUUUGUGUGAACUUGA